CCUACGGGUGGCAGCAGUGGGGAAUAUUGCACAAUGGGCGAAACCCUGAUGCAGCGAAGCCGCGUGUGGGAAGACGGUCCUCUGGGUUGUAAACCACUUUCAUCAGGGACGAAGAUGACGGUAGCUGGGGACGAAGCUCCGGCUAACUACGUAACAGCAGCCGCGGUAAUAGGCAGGGAGCAAGCUUUGUCCGGAAUUACUGGGUGUAACGGGAGCGUAGGCGGGUUAGCAAGGUGGUUGUUAAAUCUAGAGGCUCAACUGGUAGUCGCAGUCAAAACUGCUAUUCUUGAGUGCAGGAGAGGCAGGCGGAAUUCCUAGUGUAGCGGUGAAAUGCGUAGAUAUUAGGAGGAACACCAGUGGCGAAGGCGGCCUGCUGGG
rnacentral:rRNA from 1 species